GAGGGUAUAGCUCAGUGGUAGAGUAUGCCCUUAGCAUGCACAAGGUCCUGGGUUCAAUCCCCAGUACCUCCA
rnacentral:tRNA from 1 species